ensembl:snRNA RNU6-629P RNA, U6 small nuclear 629, pseudogene
GUGCUUACUUUGGCAGCACAUAUACUAAAAUUGGCACAAUAGAAGAUUAGCAUGGCCCCUGCGCAAGGAUGAUGAGCAAAUUCAUGAGGCAUUCCAUAUUUUU